UACAUGUGGGGCAAGCGUUGUUCGGAAUUACUGGGCCUAAAGGGUGCGUAGGUGGUUUGUUAAGUCAGGGGUGAAAUCCCGCGGCCCAACCGUGGAACUGCCUUUGAUACUGGCGAACUUGAGUGCGUGAGGGGUAGGGGGAACGAGCAGUGUAGCGGUGAAAUGCGUAGAUAUUGCUCGGAAGGCCAGAGCCGAAGGGGACCUACUGGUGCGUAACUGACACUGAGGCACGAAAGCGUGGGGAGCAAACAGG
rnacentral:rRNA from 1 species